ACCUGCCCAAUGAGGAAUUAAAUGGCCGCAGUAUUUUGACUGUGCAAAGGUAGCAUAAUUAUUAGUUUUUUAAUUGAAAGCUUGUAUGAAGGGUUGGACGAGAUAAAAUCUGUCUUUAUUUAAAUUACAAUAGAAUUUAACUUUUAAGUCAAAAGGCUUAAAUGUGUAUAAAAGACGAGAAGACCCUAUAGAUCUUUAUUUAAUUAAUAUUUUGAUAAUUUAAGAUUAUUUUAGUUUAAAGUUUUAAUUAAAUUUUAUUGGGGUAAUAUAGAGAUUAAAUAAAUUCUUUUUAUUUAUUACAUUGAUUUAUGAAUAUAUGAUCCAAUAUUAUUGAUUAUAAGAUUAAGUUACCUUAGGGAUAACAGCGUAAUUUUUUUGGAGAGCUCAUAUCGAUAAAAAAGUUUGCGACCUCGAUGUUGGAUUAAAAAUUAGCUUGGGUGCAGAAGCUCAAGAUUUUGGUCUGUUCGACCAUUAAAUUUUUACAUGAUCUGAGUUCAGACCGGCGUAAGCCAGGUCGGUUUCUAUCUUUAUUUAUCUAAAAUAUUUUAGUACGAAAGGACCAAAUAUUUAAUAUAAUUAUAUUUCUUUUUUGAAUAAUAUU
rnacentral:rRNA from 1 species